UAGGGAAUCUUCGGCAAUGGACGGAAGUCUGACCGAGCAACGCCGCGUGAGUGAAGAAGGUUUUCGGAUCGUAAAGCUCUGUUGUUAGAGAAGAACGUUGGUAGGAGUGGAAAAUCUACCACGUGACGGUAACUAACCAGAAAGGGACGGCUAACUACGUGCCAGCAGCCGCGGUAAUACGUAGGUCCCGAGCGUUGUCCGGAUUUAUUGGGCGUAAAGCGAGGGCAGGCGGUUCUUUAAGUCUGAAGUUAAAGGCAGUGGCUUAACCAUUGAACGCUUUGGAAACUGGAGGACUUGAGUGCAGAAGGGGAGAGUGGAAUUCCAUGUGUAGCGGUGAAAUGCGUAGAUAUAUGGAGGAACACCGGUGGCGAAAGCGGCUCUCUGGUCUGUAACUGACGCUGAGGCUCGAAAGCGUGGGGAGCAAACAGG
rnacentral:rRNA from 1 species